rnacentral:rRNA from 1 species
ACGGUACAGGAAACAGCUUGCUGUUUCGCUGACGAGUGGCGGACGGGUGAGUAAUGUCUGGGAAACUGCCUGAUGGAGGGGGAUAACUACUGGAAACGGUAGCUAAUACCGCAUAACGUCGCAAGACCAAAGAGGGGGACCUUCGGGCCUCUUGCCAUCGGAUGUGCCCAGAUGGGAUUAGCUAGUAGGUGGGGUAACGGCUCACCUAGGCGACGAUCCCUAGCUGGUCUGAGAGGAUGACCAGCCACACUGGAACUGAGACACGGUCCAGACUCCUACGGGAGGCAGCAGUGGGGAAUAUUGCACAAUGGGCGCAAGCCUGAUGCAGCCAUGCCGCGUGUAUGAAGAAGGCCUUCGGGUUGUAAAGUACUUUCAGCGGGGAGGAAGGGAGUAAAGUUAAUACCUUUGCUCAUUGACGUUACCCGCAGAAGAAGCACCGGCUAACUCCGUGCCAGCAGCCGCGGUAAUACGGAGGGUGCAAGCGUUAAUCGGAAUUACUGGGCGUAAAGCGCACGCAGGCGGUUUGUUAAGUCAGAUGUGAAAUCCCCGGGCUCAACCUGGGAACUGCAUCUGAUACUGGCAAGCUUGAGUCUCGUAGAGGGGGGUAGAAUUCCAUGUG